GUAGAGCACCAGUUCCUUCUAUUAGUGUUGAUUAGUUUGUGAACGUCACUUCACAUCAAAAAUGUCGAAAAGUGUGUCAAAGCAAUUUCAUUUCACAAUUUACGAAUAUUGAAGCGUUACUUCGCUCGCGAAAUAAAACGUUCGCGUUCAAGAAUCGAGUGCUUUUAUCAAUUUCCAUUAAACACUUUGGAAGUAAAUUAAAUACCUGAUAUCAGCUGCUAGGCAGCAUAAACAGCUAUAAUGAAAGUGUGGGGUGCUCAUGGCGAGUUUUGCGCCCGACAUCAAUGGGAGGUAAUCGUAGCCACUUUGGCUCUUUUGGCCUGUGCUGCUAGUGUGGAAAGACAUGGCACAGGUACACGAGCUGAACGAUGCGCAGGUUGGGCGAGAGCUUGUCCAGGACUUGAAGCGGAAUACCAAGCAGCUGAUGCGGUCAUAAUGACCUUCGUACGUUGUGCGGCUCUGCUCUACGCUUAUUACCAAGUUUCAAAUCUCCAGAAAAUUGCUUCGAAAUACCUUCUCAUCAUUGCUGGUGUCUUCUCAACAUUUGCCAGUUUCAUCUUUACGUCAGCCCUUGCAAGUUUAUUUUGGAGUGAACUAGCCAGCAUAAAAGAUGCUCCGUUUUUGUUUUUACUCGUUGCUGAUGUUGCCAGAGGAGCGAGAAUGGCAAAAGCCGGUUGGAGUGCAGGUGAAGAUCAGGGCAAGAGGGUAGGGAAAGCUCUUUCUCUACUCGGGCCGACAGCGACGUUAGAUACACUUCUAGCGGUUCUCCUCGUCGGCGUUGGUGGUUUAUCAGGCGUUCCUAGAUUGGAACAUAUGUGUACAUUCGCCUGCUUGGCGUUAUUAGUGGACUAUUUAGUAUUUGUUACAUUUUAUCCCGCUUGUCUGUCACUGGUAGCAGAUUUCGCUUCUGGUCGAAAAGAAAUGGGAACGGACGGUCCUUUUUCUGAAACUGAUUUAAAACCAAACCCAGUUGUGCAAAGAGUGAAAAUGAUUAUGGCUGCUGGGUUACUUUGUGUUCACUUAACUAGUAGAUGGCCCUGGACUAGAGAGAACGGUAUGAUAGAAGGAUCUUUGACUAACGAUUUUAAGUCUGGAUCGCAUGAGAAUGUUCUUUUCCACUCAUAUGUCAAAUGGUUUUCAGUGAGCGCAGAUUACAUCGUUAUAGCAACGUUGCUGUGCGCUUUAAUUAUUAAAUUCAUCUUUUUUGAGGAACAAAAAAAUUGGAUAAUUGACAUGAACGAUUUAACAGUUAAAGAGGUUGUGAAACGCAACAGUAAACCGAAGUUUUCGGUUGGUGAAGAUAUCAAGUCUGACAUGCAUACGCAAACGGAUGACUUGCUGAAUUGUGAAGAAUCAGAGUGGCCUCUACUUUCGCCUAGUUCUUCAGCCGCUAGACUUAAUUCUAAAAAGCGCCCAAUGGCAGAAUGUUUAGAGAUAUAUCGGUCAGAAGGUGUCUGUACAUCUCUUAGCGACGAUGAAGUUGUAAUGCUUGUUGAACAGUCACAUAUACCUUUACACAGGCUUGAAAAUGUCUUAAACGAUCCUUUACGAGGCGUUAGAUUACGUAGGAGAGUCAUAUCCUCGAGAUUCCAAACGGAAGUUGGUAUAAAACAACUACCGUAUCUAAAUUAUGAUUACAGUAAAGUUUUGAACGCUUGCUGUGAAAACGUUAUAGGAUACGUUGGUAUCCCGGUUGGAUUUGCUGGUCCGUUAGUUGUGGAUGGUAAAGCGUACAUGAUCCCAAUGGCUACAACUGAAGGCGCCUUAGUUGCGUCCACAAACAGAGGCGCAAAAGCCAUUGGUACCAGAGGCGUCACUAGUGUUGUUGAAGAUAUCGGAAUGACAAGAGCUCCUGCUGUCAAGUUACCCAACGUCGUACGCGCACAUGAAUGCCGCCAGUGGUUAGACAAUAAAGACAACUACGCAAUCAUAAAAGAAGCAUUUGAUUCAACAUCAAGGUUUGCUCGUCUUCAAGAAGUCCACGUUGGUGUUGAUGGAGCAACCCUGUAUUUAAGAUUCAGAGCUACCACUGGCGACGCUAUGGGUAUGAAUAUGGUAUCCAAGGGUGCUGAAAAUGCUCUGAAGUUACUUAAGAACUUCUUCCCUGAUAUGGAAGUAAUCAGUCUUUCUGGUAACUACUGUUCUGACAAGAAGGCUGCCUCGAUUAAUUGGGUAAAGGGAAGAGGGAAAAGAGUCGUUUGCGAAACUACAAUAUCAGCUGAAAACUUAAAAAAUAUCUUCAAAACUGACGCUAAAACAAUGACUCGAUGCAACAAAAUUAAAAACCUAUCCGGAUCGGCGUUAGCGGGCUCCAUUGGUGGGAAUAAUGCUCACGCGGCGAAUAUGGUGACAGCUAUAUUUAUAGCAACGGGGCAAGAUCCGGCUCAGAACGUAACAAGCAGUAAUUGUUCGACAAAUAUGGAAGUUUGCGGUGAAAAUAGAGACGAUCUCUACAUAACAUGUACUAUGCCUUCGCUAGAAGUGGGUACAGUAGGUGGUGGUACUGUUUUGACAGGACAAGGAGCUUGCUUACAAAUCCUCGGUGUGAAAGGAGCCGGUGCACGUCCUGCUGAGAAUUCAGCCAGAUUAGCUUCUCUCGUUUGCGCCACCGUUUUAGCUGGAGAAUUAAGCCUGAUGGCUGCUCUAGUCAAUUCCGACUUAGUUAAAUCACAUAUGCGUCACAACAGAUCAACAGCGAACGUUGCAAAUGUGACAAACGAUAUGACUUUAAAAGUACCAAAGUUAUAACAUUGGUUACGUUAGUCAAGAUAAAGGAGAGUAAUGCUUACAUCAAUAAUUAAGUAAUUAAGGUAUUACCAUCGGAAAUUACCAAAAAUCGUACACUGCCCUCUAUACACCGAUAACUUGGAUUACAGACCGAAUAGUUUAUGACGUGUGUUAAAUUUUUUUAAUAAAAUAUGUGUCGUAUUACAAUGGAACCUCAUAUAAACUAAUCCAGUGUGCACGAGGCUAAAGUAAAAAAUUGGACCCAGAACUGUUCCCUGUGAAAUACCCGGUGAUGUAAACGUAAGAAUUGUAAAUAACGCUUCGCCUUUAAACUUCAAACGAUACAAAUCAAUAUAUUAUUGGAUCCUUCGCGGAUGUUCGCAGAACGACUCUCCGAAGUUACACCACAUUCGGAUGAAUGGUUGAGCAACGGAUUGAGGACAAACAUACAGAGACAUUUUUAUUUAAUAAGAUUCGUAAACUAAGCCAUUCUGUAACAAUCUUGAAACCUGUCGCAGUACACGAUCGUGAAAUGUCAGAAAAGUAGCGAUAUUGACUAUAAAUAUUGUUAUCAAAGUUAAAGAAUUCAAAUCAUAUCACCUAAGUUGGUUUUCAACAUUUCACGAAUGACGUACGAAGUGAGUUCCUCGAAACGGCAAUACAGGACUAAUCUAAACAUUGUACGUACGUAUUUGAGUUUGCAUAUUUAUAUUCUUAUAAAAUCUUUUGUCCUAACUAACGAUUAAACCACAGCGAAAACUGCUGAGUUUUGAAACAAUUUUAAUUUUUUAUAAUAUAAGCAUCGCCUAAUUAAAGAUUUUUGGAAAUUUCAACUUUAACUAUUUUAAAUUUGACCCGUACGAAAACUAGAGGGGCUUCUAUAUAUAUACAUAAUAUAUUGAAUCAUUUUACUAAAAUUCAUUGAAUGUAAUUUAAAUAAGCUGUAUCCAUAUUUGUAUGAUGAGUAAAACAAAUUAUUAUUUUAAUAAAUGCAACGCUCUGUUAUACGUCAUAUUCUUGUAACCGUUGACUUUCGUCUUACGCGUCGUAAUUCGAUUUGCACCGAAUACAAAACAAGUGCAUUGCGUCAUGAUACUAUAAAUAAAAUGGCAUUUUGUAUUAAAAUCAAUUAAAGGUCCUUCGGGAAACCUAUUCCGUUAAAAGUUAUGAUAACUUGAUGGGAAAAUAUUUUAAAUAUAGUUUCAAUUAAAAUUUAUGUUUCUUUAUUCAAUAUAGCAAUAAGCAUUACACUUAUUUAUCUGAGACAAAAUAUGCUGUCUUUAUUUAAAAGAAAAUAAAAUUCGCGGUAAAUUAUUUUGUUUCUCUUUAUAUUACUUAACAUUCUAUACUAUACUCUGAACCGAUGAAUAUGACUAAAUAACAAAAGAAAUUUCGAAUAUAAUCAUAUUUGUACUUAAAAAAAAUAGCUUUUUUAUUUGACUAUAUGCAAAAGGUACAAAACAUCAUGCCUUUAUUGAUAUGUUAAUCAUUUUAUUCUAUUAAAUCAUUAAACUCCAUCAUUGUGACAACCCACUAGGAAACUAGACAGAAAUAGGUAAAAAAAUUGUAAUUUAUUUCGUACAAGACUUGUUCAUAAGUUAAAAGUAAGAGUGAAGUCACCAGUCAUUAAGUUUGAGUUAACGAUAAGGCAGGGACUGUCACCGACCUACAAUUUUUUUUAAAUUACAUGAUUGUUGUAACGAAUGCUUAAAAAUCGGUUUUAUGAAAUGAAGACGUUUGGUAUAAAAUGUUAAAAAAAAAUCCAUUAGGUGUUGCUCAAAAUGUUUACGAUUAAAAUUUUUCCUAAUAUUAUUAUUUAAUUUUAAAUAUAAUAUUUAAACAGUAUUUAAAAAACAAAUUCUAAAUUUAUAUAUAAUAUCCGUUUAAAGGUUAAGUCUUCAUGCGUUAUCACUAUCAGCUGUUGGUCUAUCGACACAUUAUUAUUAUCAAUUUAUCUUCUACCACAAUUGACUCUGAGAUAAAUAAGUUAUAUAAUUCAAAUAUGGUUUUAUAAUAAGUGUUAUACUAAAAGGUUAAAAUUAUUAACUUUUCCUUGUAAUUAUCGUAAAAUUCAGUUCACAUAUCUUGUGCCUGACUCGUAUGUUUAUUUAAAACAUAUUUAAAUGGAGUGGGUUUAUAUUUAUUUUACUUAACAAUUUUAUAUUUACGCUAGUCAAUAAAAAUGUAUAUGGUUACACUUUGUAAUUAAAAAAAAAAACAGAUUAUUUUGCGCCUUUUUAAAUGUCAAAUAAUGUCUAAAAAAAUGGUCAUUUGUCACCAUUACAAUGUUAAUAUUUUAAUAAAAUUAGUUACAAUAACUUGUAUAAAAUGUAAAGAUCGUAAAACCUAUAUAGUUUUAAUUACAUUAGUAAAUGUAAUUAAAUAACAUCUAAUAUAUUCAUUAAAGGCGGUCAAUGUAUGAUCAGUGUUAUGAAAUAGCUUGCCUUAUUUUGGUUUAGCUUAGCUAAGCAUUCGAUAUUAUGUUCUGAUUGUUUUUAAUAUUGACUGUAAUCAUUUUUAAAAUCAUACAAAAGAAAGAGAUAGCAAGCAUAAGCAAUAUAUUUUAGUUGUUACAUUGUUUAGAUUUUAAAGAAUGUGUAGAGUAAAAUGUUUAACGAUAUUAUAUUUGAAUAAUUUUCGGAAUGACCGAAUCUACGUACUUAAUUGAAAUUACUGUAUUGAAUUGUGUUUAAAAACCUAGGUUUGAUGUUUAUUUGAAUAACCCAGAUAAAACAUAUUGUUUUUUAUAUUAUUGUAUUUUUCAUAAAAUAAUAAUUAAUAAGUAGGAGUGGAUGCGGGGUUGUUACCUGGAAAUCUCUCGUGAGGUAUAAUUUGGACUAUAAUUAUUAUGUAAUAAGCUAAUAAAUUAAUAAGCUAAAUGUCUGUCUUCCAAAAUAAAAUUCCUAGUACAUAUAUUUAAUUUGACGUACAUAAUGCUGCGUAGAUGAAUGUUAGGGCUCUGUUGAUUAAAUGUAUA